rnacentral:rRNA from 1 species
AUGGACGACCCGCACUUCCUCGUCGGCACCCCCAGGAGCGAGUUGCUCGCCAAGAUGGAGCGCGAAGGCCGGGACCCUGCGACGCUCGACGUCGGCAUAAACCUGGUGCUCUAUUUCGUCUACGACUACCUCCCCGACCCGCCCGUCUCCCCCGCCCCCACCACCACCCUCUCGCUCGCCGGCGCGUCCUGGGUCUCCGACGGCGUCGACCGCAUCAGCCGCCUCCCCGAUGUGCUCCUCCGCGACAUCAUCUCCCGCCUCCCCGCCAAGGACGCCGCGCGCACCGCCGCCCUCCCUCUCCUCGCGCUGGCGUCCACUCUGGCGCUCGGCGCCCCUCGCUCUUGUGGACAGCCAUCUUCUUCCGGACGGCGGCGCGGCCGGGCAGUUCACCAUCGGCGCUCCCUCUCCCCGCGCCGUCACCGACGCGGUGUCCCGCGUCCUCGCGGCGCACCCGGGGCCCUUCCGCUGCGUGCACCUCACCCGCACCAUCAUGGAGGAGCACCGGGGCGAGAUGGCGCGCUGGCUCGACAUCCUCGUCGCCAAGGGGGUUCAAGAACUCGUCUUUGUCAACCGCCCUUGACCGCUAGACUUGCGCCUCCCCGCCACGAUCUUCAGCUGCUCCUCCCUCACCCGUCUCUAUCUCGGCGUCUGGAGGAUCCCGGACACCGCCGCCGUACCGUGCGGCGCCAGAUUCCCCAACCUCCUGGAGCUCGGCCUGCACCUAACCUGCGUGUGUUGGGAUACAUUCGGCCAGGAGAGCAAGAGUUGGGGAUUAGCAACACCAUCAUCGUGGCUGGGGCCAAGGAGAGCAUUGUGCCCACUGUCCAGAUUUUGGCCAUAGAGGUGCAAUUAGGUUGCCGCAAUUCUGUCAAGAAAGUGCCUGGUUUUCUCAGAUGCUUUCCUAACCUGAAGACCCUCCAUGUCCAGUCCCCACGCAUACCUAAAGAGUCCACUGGCAAGGUCAAUCUCAAGUUCUGGCAGGAGGGUGGCCCCAUCAAAUGUGUCCUGCAGAGCUUGAAGAAGUUGUUCUUCUACGAGUUCCGGGGGUCAAGAAGCGAAGUUGCUUUCCUCAAGUUCAUUGCGGAGAGAGGUCGGGUGCUGGAGCAGAUGGUGGUCGUCGUGGCCAAGGAAUGUUUCUCUCCGGGAGGUGAUGGUGUGAAUGACAAGCUGAAGCCUCUGACCAACGCAAAAUGGAACAGCAAAGGUUGCAAACUUGAGCUCUUCAAGAGCCCACUCACUGAUGUGGCAGGUCCAAUUUGCAGCCACCGACAUGCUUCUGAUUUGAGGUUUGCUGACCCCUUUGACCUCAAGUACUACUACAAAUCCGAAACGAUCUCUGUAAGUUAA